rnacentral:rRNA from 1 species
GACGAACCGUGCGAACGUUGUUCGGAAUCACUGGGCUUAAAGGGUGCGUAGGCGGGUUGUCCAGUCUGGGGUGAAAUCCCACGGCUCAACCGUGGAACUGCCUCAGAUACUGACGACCUCGAGGGAGGUAUGGGCGAGCGGAACUGUGGGUGGAGCGGUGAAAUGCGUUGAUAUCCACAGGAACUCCGGUGGCGAAGGCGGCUCGCUGGACCUCUUCUGCCGCUGAGGCACGAAAGCUAGGGGAGCAAACGGG